GCAGUAGUGGCCGAGUGGUUGAGGCGAUGGACUAGAAAUCCAUUGGGAUCUCCCCGCACGGGUUCGAAUCCUGUCGACUGCA
rfam:Ixodes scapularis strain Wikel colony gcontig_1108379202726, whole genome shotgun sequence.